AAAAUCCUACUGUGUUCGUAUAUUGAGUAUAAUUGAUCUAACAUCAUUGAAUAGGGAAUCGGACUCUUCUUGUAGAAUGAUUUUGAGAAUUUUUUAAAAACAAGAAGCAAGAAGGAGAUACCCACCUGCAGGGGACGCGGGUUCAAUAAAACUCAUAAAACGGCAUAGUGGGAGUUUU
rnacentral:other from 1 species